rnacentral:lncRNA from 1 species
GCGGUGGCGAGCGUGAGCGCGAGCGGCGUCAGCGAGCGUGAGUGUGAGCGGCGAGCUGCAGGUGCGGCGAGCAUCGUGCGGCUUAAGAAUAGAAACGAGGCGAGCGGGCGCAACGAGCGGCAGAGCACGGCCGACGAGAGCGGGGCCGGCGAGCACGAUGCAAGCGGCGGCGGUGUCGAGUGCGACGAGAGCAGCGGCGGCGAGCGCGACGAGAGUGCGGCCGGCGAGCGCGACGCAAGCAGCAGCGGUGGCGAGUGCGACGAGAGCAGCGGCGGCGAGAGUGACGAGAGCGCGACCGGCGAGCGCGACGCAAGCGGCGGCGGCAAGCGUGAGCGGCGAGGUUGA